rnacentral:tRNA from 1 species
GCCUGGGUGGCUCAGUCGGUUAAGCGUCUGACUCUGGCUCAGCUCAUGGUCUCGCGGUCCAUGAGUUCGAGCCCCGCCUCAGGCU